AUGCAACUCAGCUGGCAGCCAUUAGGACCAAUUUGGUAUAUACGAUGUUUCAGUCCAGCUCAUCGUUUUUCCCCAGAAGAUGGUGGCAACCUAUGCUGGUGCUUCCAGAAAAUGCAAUGCUUCCUCCUGUGUCUGCUGCUAUCAAAACAGGUGAUGCUGAGGAACAGUGAUUGUGGAUGGAGAUGGGGCUUACUGAGAGCCAUUGCUUCCUCUUGCCUUUUACUCUGCAACCUUGCUCCACAUGCUGUGCAUCAGCUUCCUGCUGCCUUCCAUCGUGCUCCUGAGUGUGCUCCUGUGAGGUAGCAGAAGAAAUUGAUAGGAAAAGGAGCCUGAUUAUUUAUGGACUAUCACAUUACCUGGUUGUCUAUAUAGACCAAAGAUAAACAGAAUCAAAAGUCUCCUCCCAGUAUGCAAACAAUGAGGUAAAAUAUAAAAAUAUUACAGAAGACAAAACCCAGAAGAGAAGUGGGAUUAUUUUUUCACAGUUAUGGAGAAGGCAAGAAGGUAUUCAAUAGAAGAGAAGCGUGGGCACAGAGACUACAUCUAUUGUAGUAAACUGAAGUGUAGGACCAACACUUGAGUGUUACCAUGACAUUACUCAGGGCUUAAUAUUUAAAACACUCUGUAUCAUGGUUGUGGCUGGGCCAGCUACCAUCUCUCCAGUCAGUGUCAUGGCAUGAACUGCUGGAUACCAUGGCCAGGAAAUGAUUCUAGUAAGCUGUAUGGGUGGAGUCAUCUGUUUAUGAAGAAUGAAGGACGGAAUUUAGCUGGACAGAUGUAAGCCAGGAUAUGCCCUGAAGUCCAGAGAACAGAUCCUGGUCAUUGCUUUUUAUCAGUUAGCAUAGAUAUGGUCACAAAUGUUUAGAAACAUGGUGGAAUAGCCUUAUCUCUUGCCUGACACAAAGUAUUUUAUCACCCUACGAAUCAUAGGAGCCCUAUGCUAAAGGACUUGGUUGUUGGUGUGGAGCAAUGGGAGAGAAUGGGAAUUUUACUACCUUUUGUGGGAAGUUACAUACCCAUUACAAUUGAUGCAAUCUCAACAAAUAAACUAGACCUUUGACUUCA
rnacentral:lncRNA from 1 species